GCGGGUGUAGCUCAGUGGUAGAGCACAACCUUGCCAAGGUUGGGGUCGAGAGUUCGAGCCUCUUCACCCGCUCCA
rnacentral:tRNA from 1 species